rnacentral:rRNA from 1 species
ACGUGGGAAUCUACCUAAUAGUAAGGAACAACAGUCAGAAAUGACUGCUAAUACCUUAUACGCCCUUCGGGGGAAAGAUUUAUCGCUAUUAGAUGAGCCCGCGUUAGAUUAGCUUGUUGGUAGGGUAAUGGCCUACCAAGGCAACGAUCUAUAGCUGGUCUGAGAGGAUGAUCAGCCACACUGGGAACUGAGACACGGUCCAGACUCCUACGGGAGGCAGCAGUGGGGAAUAUUGGACAAUGGGCGAAAGCCUGAUCCAGCAAUACCACGUGAGUGAUGAAGGCCUUAGGGUUGUAAAAC